GCGGGCGUGGCGGAACCGGCAGACGCAGGAGACUUAAAAUCUCCCGGGCAAGUCCCGUGCGGGUUCGACUCCCGCCGCCCGCACCA
rnacentral:tRNA from 2 species